CCUACGGGUGGCAGCAGUGAGGAAUAUUGGUCAAUGGGCGUAAGCCUGAACCAGCCAAGUCGCGUGAGGGAUGAAGGUUCUAUGGAUCGUAAAACUCUUUUACAAGGGAAUCAAGUGCGGGAUGUGUCCCGUUUGGUAUGCACCUUAUUAAGAAGGAUCGGCUAAAUCCGUGCCAGCAGCCGCGGUAAUACGGAGGUUCCGAGCGUUAUCCGGAUUCAUUGGGUUUAAAGGGUGCGUAGGCGGCCGUUUAAGUCAGCGGUGAAAGUCUGUGGCUCAACCGUAGAAUUGCCGUGGAAACUGGCAGGCUUGAGUAUAGGUGAGGCAGGCGGAAUGCGUGGUGUAGCGGUGAAAUGCGUAGAUAUCACGCGGAACCCAGGUGGCGAAGGCAGCCUGCCAGGCCAUGACUGACGCUGAUGCACGAAAGCGUGGGGAUCAAACAGGAUUAGAGACCCGGGUAGUC
rnacentral:rRNA from 1 species